rnacentral:RNase_P_RNA from 1 species
GCUGACCAGACAGUCGCCGCUUUGUCGUCGUCCUCACUUGUGGGGAGACGGGCAGAGGGGAGGAAAGUCCGGGCUCCAUAGGGCAGGGUGCCAGGUAACGCCUGGGAGGCGCAAGCCUACGACCAGUGCAACAGAGAGCAAACCGCCGAUGGCCCGCGCAAGCGGGAUCAGGUAAGGGUGAAAGGGUGCGGUAAGAGCGCACCGCGCGGCUGGCAACAGUCCGUGGCACGGUAAACUCCACCCGGAGCAAGGCCAAAUAGGGGUUCACAUGGUACGGCCCGUACUGAACCCGGGUAGGCUGCUUGAGCCAGUGAGCGAUUGCUGGCCUAGAUGAAUGACUGUCCACGACAGAACCCGGCUUAACGGUCAGCUU